rnacentral:tRNA from 5 species
GCGUCCGUAGCUCAGUCGGAUAGAGCAACGGCCUUCUAAGCCGUGGGUCGCAGGUUCGAAUCCUGCCGGACGCGCCA